UAACGCGUGCGGAACAUACCCUUUCCUGCGGAAUAGCUCCGGGAAACUGGAAUUAAUACCGCAUACGCCCUACGGGGGAAAGAUUUAUCGGGGAAGGAUUGGCCCGCGUUGGAUUAGCUAGUUGGUGGGGUAAAGGCCUACCAAGGCGACGAUCCAUAGCUGGUCUGAGAGGAUGAUCAGCCACAUUGGGACUGAGACACGGCCCAAACUCCUACGGGAGGCAGCAGUGGGGAAUAUUGGACAAUGGGCGCAAGCCUGAUCCAGCCAUGCCGCGUGAGUGAUGAAGGCCUUAGGGUUGUAAAGCUCUUUCACCGAUGAAGAUAAUGACGGUAGUCGGAGAAGAAGCCCCGGCUAACUUCGUGCCAGCAGCCGCGGUAAUACGAAGGGGGCUAGCGUUGUUCGGAAUUACUGGGCGUAAAGCGCACGUAGGCGGAUAUUUAAGUCAGGGGUGAAAUCCCGCAGCUCAACUGCGGAACUGCCUUUGAUACUGGGUAUCUUGAGUAUGGAAGAGGUAAGUGGAAUUCCGAGUGUAGAGGUGAAAUUCGUAGAUAUUCGGAGGAACACCAGUGGCGAUGCGGCUU
rnacentral:rRNA from 1 species